rnacentral:tRNA from 1 species
GGAGAGAUGGCCGAGUGGCUGAAGGCGCGCCCCUGCUAAGGGCGUAUAGGGUGAAACCUAUCGAGGGUUCGAAUCCCUCUCUCUCCGCCA